rnacentral:rRNA from 1 species
GAUGAACGCUAGCGGCAGGCUUAAUACAUGCAAGUCGAGGGGGAUCAGUUGGGUAGCAAUACCUGGCUGUGAGACCGGCAAACGGGUGAGGAACACGUACGCAACUUUCCCAAAACUGGUGAAUAGCCCUCCGAAAGGAGGAUUAAUACACCGUAACAUAACGAAAUGGCAUCAUUUUGUUAUUAUAGCAGCAAUGCGGUUUUGGAUAGGCGUGCGCCUGAUUAGGUAGUUGGCGGGGUAACGGCCCACCAAGCCUACGAUCAGUAACUGGUGUGAGAGCACGACCAGUCACACGGGCACUGAGACACGGGCCCGACUCCUACGGGAGGCAGCAGUAAGGAAUAUUGGUCAAUGGACGAAAGUCUGAACCAGCCAUGCCGCGUGAAGGAUGAAGGUCCUCUGGAUUGUAAACUUCUUUUAUCUGGGACGAAAAAAGGGAAUUCUUUCUCACUUGACGGUACCAGAAGAAUAAGCACCGGCUAACUCCGUG